rnacentral:lncRNA from 1 species
UGAAGCUUUAGUUGUUAUUGGUACCUAUGUGAUGCACAUCACGAGACUCCAAGAGUGAAGAGCAGGUAAGUCUGCUGCAUAUUUAAUAGGCAGUUAGCCACAGUGUUAUUAAUAAAUGUGAUAAUAACAGUCUGGAUUUGCAUAGAGUUUUCCUGAGAAGAGUUGACUGUAGAUGGCAAAUAUGUUGGCUGUCCAUCCAUCUCCUAGCAUUGCACUCUCCCUACCAAUAAACUGUCCCUCGCUAGUGGAUCUGAGAUAAGGGCAUAAAUAUCAUGCAGCAUUAUUUUGUCACCAGUUAUUUUUGCUUACUUGUCCAUAGUUUAUCUUUGGAUCUCUCUUAUCAAAUUCGUAGCUUUUGACCUACUAGAAAGAGGGAAAAUAAUUGAUGUAGUUUAAGGCUUGAUAGUGGACUACUUUGUGGCUGGAAGUUUCUGGAAUUUUUUAAAACUCAAGAAUGUGGAUUUUUGUCAUUGCUUCUGAGGUAGGGUGUGGUGGUGGUGCAGCUUCCCGGAAGUGAGGACCGAUAGGUGUCCGGGGCCAGGAAAGCUGGACGGUGGGCUCCCCCUCUGAGCUGCCUCGUGCAGAAAGCUGGUCAGUGGGCCAAGCCACUGGCUCUGCUGAAACUUCCAGUACCUGAAAUUUUGACUUUGAAAAGUAAUUUUAACAAUUG